rnacentral:rRNA from 1 species
CGAGGACGAACGCUGGCGGCGUGCUUAACACAUGCAAGUCGAACGGACGAGAUCCCUCGGGGGUCAAGUUAGUGGCGGACGGGUGAGUAACGCGUGAGCAACCUGCCUUGGAGUGGGGAAUAACAACCGGAAACGGUUGCUAAUACCGCAUAACAUCGCGGCUCGGCAUCGGGCAGCGAUCAAAGAUUUAUCGCUCCAAGAUGGGCUCGCGUCCGAUUAGAUAGUUGGCGGGGUAACGGCCCACCAAGUCGACGAUCGGUAGCCGGACUGAGAGGUUGGCCGGCCACAUUGGGACUGAGAGACGGCCCAGACCCCUACGAGAGGCAGCAGUGAGGAAUAUUAGGCAAUGGGGGAAACCCUGAACCCUAGCGACGCCGCGUGAAGGAAGACGGUUUUCGGAUUGUAAACUUCUUUUAUGAGGGACGAUAAUGACGGUACCUCAUGAAUAAGCCACGGCUAACUACGUGCCAGCAGCUGC